rnacentral:pre_miRNA from 1 species
UGAUGAUGAUGAUGAUGAUGAUGAUGAUGAUGAUGGUGGUGGUGAUGAUGAUGAUACUUAGCAUCAUCAUCAUCAUCGUCAUCAUCAUCAUUAUCA